UUAAGCGACUAAGCGUACACGGUGGAUGCCCUGGCAGUCAGAGGCGAUGAAGGACGUGCUAAUCUGCGAAAAGCGUCGGUAAGGUGAUAUGAACCGUUAUAGCCGGCGAUGUCCGAAUGGGGAAACCCAGUGCAAUUCGUUGCACUAUCGUUAACUGAAUACAUAGGUUAACGAGGCGAACCGGGGGAACUGAAACAUCUAAGUACCCCGAGGAAAAGAAAUCAACCGAGAUUCCCCCAGUAGCGGCGAGCGAACGGGGAGCAGCCCAGAGUCUGAAUCAGCUUGUGUGUUAGUGGAACGGUCUGGAAAGUCCGACGGUACAGGGUGAUAGUCCCGUACACCAAAAUGCACAGGUUGUGAACUCGAAGAGUAGGGCGGGACACGUGGUAUCCUGUCUGAAUAUGGGGGGACCAUCCUCCAAGGCUAAAUACUCCUGACUGACCGAUAGUGAACCAGUACCGUGAGGGAAAGGCGAAAAGAACCCCGGCGAGGGGAGUGAAAAAGAACCUGAAACCGUGUACGUACAAGCAGUGGGAGCACCUUCGGGUGUGACUGCGUACCUUUUGUAUAAUGGGUCAGCGACUUAUAUUCUGUAGCAAGGUUAACCGUAUAGGGGAGCCGCAGGGAAACCGAGUCUUAACUGGGCGUUAAGUUGCAGGGUAUAGACCCGAAACCCGGUGAUCUAGCCAUGGGCAGGUUGAAGGUUGGGUAACACUAACUGGAGGACCGAACCGACUAAUGUUGAAAAAUUAGCGGAUGACUUGUGGCUGGGGGUGAAAGGCCAAUCAAACCGGGAGAUAGCUGGUUCUCCCCGAAAGCUAUUUAGGUAGCGCCUCGUGAACUCAUCUUCGGGGGUAGAGCACUGUUUCGGCUAGGGGGUCAUCCCGACUUACCAACCCGAUGCAAACUACGAAUACCGAAGAAUGUUAUCACGGGAGACACACGGCGGGUGCUAACGUCCGUCGUGAAGAGGGAAACAACCCAGACCGCCAGCUAAGGUCCCAAAGUCAUGGUUAAGUGGGAAACGAUGUGGGAAGGCACAGACAGCCAGGAUGUUGGCUUAGAAGCAGCCAUCAUUUAAAGAAAGCGUAAUAGCUCACUGGUCGAGUCGGCCUGCGCGGAAGAUGUAACGGGGCUAAACCAUGCACCGAAGCUGCGGCAGCGACACUAUGUGUUGUUGGGUAGGGGAGCGUUCUGUAAGCCUGCGAAGGUGUGCUGUGAGGCAUGCUGGAGGUAUCAGAAGUGCGAAUGCUGACAUAAGUAACGAUAAAGCGGGUGAAAAGCCCGCUCGCCGGAAGACCAAGGGUUCCUGUCCAACGUUAAUCGGGGCAGGGUGAGUCGACCCCUAAGGCGAGGCCGAAAGGCGUAGUCGAUGGGAAACAGGUUAAUAUUCCUGUACUUGGUGUUACUGCGAAGGGGGGACGGAGAAGGCUAUGUUAGCCGGGCGACGGUUGUCCCGGUUUAAGCAUGUAGGCUGGUUGUCCAGGCAAAUCCGGAUAAUCAAGGCUGAGGUGUGAUGACGAGGUACUACGGUGCUGAAGUAACAAAUGCCCUGCUUCCAGGAAAAGCCUCUAAGCAUCAGGUAACAUCAAAUCGUACCCCAAACCGACACAGGUGGUCAGGUAGAGAAUACCAAGGCGCUUGAGAGAACUCGGGUGAAGGAACUAGGCAAAAUGGUGCCGUAACUUCGGGAGAAGGCACGCUGGUGUGUAGGUGAAGUCCCUGCGGAUGGAGCUGAGACCAGUCGAAGAUACCAGCUGGCUGCAACUGUUUAUUAAAAACACAGCACUGUGCAAACACGAAAGUGGACGUAUACGGUGUGACGCCUGCCCGGUGCCGGAAGGUUAAUUGAUGGGGUUAUCCGUAAGGAGAAGCUCUUGAUCGAAGCCCCGGUAAACGGCGGCCGUAACUAUAACGGUCCUAAGGUAGCGAAAUUCCUUGUCGGGUAAGUUCCGACCUGCACGAAUGGCGUAAUGAUGGCCAGGCUGUCUCCACCCGAGACUCAGUGAAAUUGAACUCGCUGUGAAGAUGCAGUGUACCCGCGGCAAGACGGAAAGACCCCGUGAACCUUUACUAUAGCUUGACACUGAACAUUGAGCCUUGAUGUGUAGGAUAGGUGGGAGGCUUUGAAGCGUGGACGCCAGUCUGCGUGGAGCCAACCUUGAAAUACCACCCUUUAAUGUUUGAUGUUCUAACGUUGGCCCCUUACCGGGGUUGCGGACAGUGUCUGGUGGGUAGUUUGACUGGGGCGGUCUCCUCCUAAAGCGUAACGGAGGAGCACGAAGGUUAGCUAAUCCUGGUCGGACAUCAGGAGGUUAGUGCAAUGGCAUAAGCUAGCUUGACUGCGAGCGUGACGGCGCGAGCAGGUGCGAAAGCAGGUCAUAGUGAUCCGGUGGUUCUGAAUGGAAGGGCCAUCGCUCAACGGAUAAAAGGUACUCCGGGGAUAACAGGCUGAUACCGCCCAAGAGUUCAUAUCGACGGCGGUGUUUGGCACCUCGAUGUCGGCUCAUCACAUCCUGGGGCUGAAGUAGGUCCCAAGGGUAUGGCUGUUCGCCAUUUAAAGUGGUACGCGAGCUGGGUUUAGAACGUCGUGAGACAGUUCGGUCCCUAUCUGCCGUGGGCGCUGGAGAAUUGAGGGGGGCUGCUCCUAGUACGAGAGGACCGGAGUGGACGCAUCACUGGUGUUCGGGUUGUCAUGCCAAUGGCACUGCCCGGUAGCUAAAUGCGGAAGAGAUAAGUGCUGAAAGCAUCUAAGCACGAAACUUGCCCCGAGAUGAGUUCUCCCUGAGACUUUAAGUCUCCUGAAGGAACGUUGAAGACGACGACGUUGAUAGGCCGGGUGUGUAAGCGCAGCGAUGCGUUGAGCUAACCGGUACUAAUGAACCGUGAGGCUUAACCUU
rnacentral:rRNA from 1 species